GACGAACCGUGCGAACGUUAUUCGGAAUCACUGGGCUUAAAGCGCGUGUAGGCGGGACGGCACGUCGGUCGCUGAAAGCCCCCGGCUCAACCGGGGAACGGGCGCCGAUACGACCGCCCUGGAGGGACGUAGGGGGACCUGGAACAUCCGGUGGAGCGGUGAAAUGCGUUGAGAUCGGAUGGAACGCCCGUGGCGAAAGCGAGGUCCUGGACGUUUUCGUGACGCUGAGACGCGAAAGCCAGGGGAGCGAACGGG
rnacentral:rRNA from 1 species